GGGGACGUAGCUCAGUUGGAUAGAGCAACCGCCUCCUAAGCGGUAGGUCGGCAGUUCGACUCUGCCCGUCCCUACCA
rnacentral:tRNA from 1 species